UUAUGCUCAUAGGCCGUUUUUUAACUGAACUAUAAUGUAUUCUUAAAAAACAGCACUUUACUGCUGAUCAACUGUCUAAAGUAUCAUGAAUAACAGUUUGAUGCAGUAUUUUUUGAAUUCUGGGAAGAGCAAUUUCACCUGAUCUGCACAUGUGAGGCUGGAUCCGUUCUUUUCUUCAUCCAUUCCCAUCUUACUGAUUAUUUGGUGAAACAGCAGGAAGCUAUUGGCGCUGGAUGGUCAGCCUUGAGGGCCACUUCAUAUGUGAGGGGAUCCAGCCCACCUUCUUGAUGGGGCUUGCUGCAUUAUUUUCCACCUUCUACACCUGCACGCUCAAAUUAAUCUCAAGGUGCACCGUAGGAAUAAACCCUGAGAGAGGCACCAAGGAUGGACAGGGCAAAGUCUUCUCAAAGAAAACUGGCAAAUUCACGAGCUACAAGACAAGACUACAACCGUAUAUCCACAUGUAUCCACUCUGCUGAUGGGACUCAUGGACUUGAGUGGGACUUCAUUUAAAAUGUCAGCGGGCUACCAAGGCUGGAUUGAGAGAACUGGUGUCUUUGAGUGGGCCAUAAGUCAUUCACUAACUCACUCCCCCAUUAUCGCUCAAUACUUGGACUUCCACACUUAUCCAUGUGCCUUGUUAGAGACUGAAUAUUCAUACUUGGACAUGAUGUCACAUGUCUGGUGGUGUUGGUGCUCAUUAUGAUAUAAGGCAAAAUAUUAUUUGAGAGUUUUGUUUUAACUCUAUGAUAUAGCUCAACUGUCUGUAACUGUUCCACAAAGUAAGGUUAGUAAGAUUGACAGAUGUCUUCAGAAAUGCUAUUUCUUCUGAAAUUUGGUUUGUUAUCUGUGUCAGGUUUUUGUUGGCGCUGUGUUGAACUUCAUAUGAAAAUAAAAAGUAAAGUGCAAUAA